rnacentral:lncRNA from 1 species
GCAGACACGGACAACUGAUGACGUUGGAAGCACUUGCUUUUCCAAUAAAAUUCUAGAAAUAUUAUGAUGGCCAGAUUCUCGAAGAGCAUUUAUCAGCGUACGGAAAGAACACACGUUCUGAAGCUUCUGUAAUAAAAAUUCACACAGCCUACGAUUUGGCCAAUGUAAUUCAAACGCAUUUUGAUGAAAAUCUUCAUACAAAUAUUGAUCAACAGUUUUUGUUUUGUACAAAUAAUAUAAAAGCUGAACCGGGUCAAUCUCAUCCUUUGAUUUCUCACUUAAAUCGUUCAGGAUAUCUAUUUCUAUAUCAGUCAUUCGUUCUGGUCUGACAUAUGAAUAUUUAAAUAUUAUUUCUUCCAUGACAGUUUAAUUAU